ACACUGGUUUGUGAAGUCUGUCUCUUUUCCAUACCAGUACUAGAGAAGGUUAAAUGGACAUCACCACAGAAUUAAUGGGCAUCUUCCUGUUGGUUUUGUUCUCUUCCUUCUUCCUCAGUUUUAAUCUCCUACUUUCUGUCUGUGGCAGAUGGCAUGAUGAUGAAGAAAGAGAUUCUGGUCUCAACAGCUUACAUAUAAGAAAAACAU